rnacentral:rRNA from 1 species
AUGGCGGAUCAAGAUAAUCCCCCCUGUGAGGGCUUUGAGUACAUUUCUGACCUAGGGGAGCGUUCAUAUGGGUCUAUUUCUGGAAAAAUAAUGAAUCUCUCCAACGGACAUCAUCUUGUUGGACAAUAUGUCCAAGAAGUUAUGAUCAAGAAGGGUGUGCAUUUGAAGAUGAAACACUUUGAUAUCCUGAAGCAGUUUCAACAUUCCUGCGCUAUACCUCUUCUCAACUUUUACCCAGAAUCUAUGAAUAUGGGCAGAUUAAUAAUACCCAAAGUCGAUGAUGCAUUUGACAAUUGUUUUCUUGGGAUAGAAACAGAAGUUCUAUUUGAUUCAGAUGGAGGAAUGAAUAGAUUUUUCAGAAAUUCUGUCAUUGAGCUAUGUGAUAUGAUAAACAAACUCCACGGGAUGAAUUUCAUUCUGAAAGAUGGUAUAACUGUGCCUAAUUUAUAUGUACAGAAGCUAUCAGAUGGUCAGAUAAAAAUCAUGUUCCUCCUGUCAGAAGUAAAAGAAUCAAAACAAACUAGUGCUGAAGGAAGGUCAGAUUGGAACUCACUCAAAGUGCUUGUGGAGCGGUGCUUCUCAGAGAAACAUGUUCAGAUGAAGUCUGUCACGAGAUCGUGGAUAAAUUUUAUUGGACAACAGUCAUUUACCAUUGACAAGAUGAGAGGGUACCCUGAUAACUGGAACUGGGUAAGGAAAGGGGAGUACCUAAUGACCCUUAAAUCGAGGGAUCAUCGGGCGCUGCAAAAUUCACUAAGAGGGACUGGUAUUACAUGGCCUGAUGAACCAUUGCCUUAUGAACUGCAAAUUAUAGUUGAUUCAUCAGCAUCUGAAGGGCGUCAUUACAGUAAGGAGGUUCCACUCCACUACCUGGUAAUGCUCGCUAAUGCUUAUAAGCAUUUCUACUCAAUGGGUCUCCAUGAUAUUUUCGGGGACCUGGAAAUCUUUGUGAAGUAUAUCGAAGUGUGGACGACCACAAUUUGGACUGAGCUGUUUGAGAUAAUAGGUUGGCCAGUUAGCCUGCAUGGCAUCAAGUAUGUCAGGGAAAUAUUAUGGUAA